rnacentral:tRNA from 1 species
GUUGGGGUGGCAGAGCCCGGAAUUGCAAAAGAUCUAAGCCCUUUCAACAAGGGUUCAAAUCCCUUCCCUAACU